rnacentral:rRNA from 1 species
AGUGAACGCUGGCGGUAGGCCUAACACAUGCAAGUCGAACGGCAGCACAGUAAGAGCUUGCUCUUACGGGUGGCGAGUGGCGGACGGGUGAGGAAUACAUCGGAAUCUACUUUUUCGUGGGGGAUAACGUAGGGAAACUUACGCUAAUACCGCAUACGACCUACGGGUGAAAGCAGGGGACCUUCGGGCCUUGCGCGAUUGAAUGAGCCGAUGUCGGAUUAGCUAGUUGGCGGGGUAAAGGCCCACCAAGGCGACGAUCCGUAGCUGGUCUGAGAGGAUGAUCAGCCACACUGGAACUGAGACACGGUCCAGACUCCUACGGGAGGCAGCGGUGGGGAAUAUUGGACAAUGGGCGCAAGCCUGAUCCAGCCAUACCGCGUGGGUGAAGAAGGCCUUCGGGUUGUAAAGCCCUUUCGUUGGGAAAGAAAUCCAGCCGGCUAAUACCUGGUUGGGAUGACGGUACCCAAAGAAUAAGCACCGGCUAACUUCGUGCCAGCCGCCGCGGUAAAAC